rnacentral:rRNA from 1 species
UACAGAGGUCCCGAGCGUUGUUCGGAUUCACUGGGCGUAAAGGGUGCGUAGGUGGUCGGGUAAGUCUGAUGUGAAAUCUCCGAGCUCAACUCGGAAAUGGCAUUGGAUACUAUUCGGCUCGAGGGUCGGAGGGGAGACUGGAAUUCUCGGUGUAGCAGUGAAAUGCGUAGAUAUCGAGAGGAACACCGGUGGCGAAGGCGAGUCUCUGGACGACUCCUGACACUGAGGCACGAAAGCUAGGGGAGCAAACAGG